UACGUAGGCAGCGAGCGUUGUUCGGAGUUACUGGGCGUAAAGGGUGUGUAGGCGGUUCUCUAAGUUUGGUGUGAAAUCUCCCGGCUCAACCGGGAGGGUGCGCCGAAAACUGGGGGACUCGAGUGCGGGAUGGGAGAGUAGAAUUCCUGGUGUAGCGGUGAAAUGCGUAGAUAUCAGGAAGAACACCCGUGGCGAAAGCGGCUCUCUAGAACGGUACUGACGCUGAGACGCGAAAGCGUGGGGAGCGAACAGG
rnacentral:rRNA from 1 species